GUACUACUCCCUCCGUUCGAAAGUAAUUGUCCUAAAAAUGAAUAUAUCUAAACUUAUUUUAGUUAUAGAUACAUUCAUUAUAUUUAUUUUUAGGACAAGUAUUUUCGAAAGGAGGGAGUAUUAC
rfam:Hordeum vulgare subsp. vulgare, WGS project CAJW01000000 data, contig: morex_contig_55353